UAUAGAAAAACAGCUAAUUUCUUUCAAAAACUGCUCCUGGUGUUCUCUGCUGACACCUCUGUCUGUGUCAGGAACUGUCUGGAGGAGGAGAGGUUUGCUGUGGGGAUUUGUUCCUACUCUGGACAGUUCCUAAAAUGGACAGAGGUGGGGACAUGCGCGCCGGAGCAGAGGCUGGGGCAGGAGAGGCACCAGAAUAAAACCAGAGAGGAAAGCGUUACAAAUCCGGGCUGCCAGGCUCCACUCUGAAAACAGUGAGUCAGUAGAGUGAGGAAGAAAGCUGAGUCAUCACAGUGCAGGCAAGAGAAGGACACGCCCCUCCCUCUGAGAAGAUGAAAAAGACAUAUUUGUGUACCGUGGGAAUGGUGGGGACUUGCUCCACAAAACAUUCAGAUCAGUGGUAUCAUUCUUGGAAUCUCCUUAUUGGACAGGCCUGAAGAUCAUGUUCCACUGAUGAUGCAUAUAGGACAGAACGAAGUUUGAUAGAGAAGAGACUGGCCGAUUGGGAAUAUCAUUGUGGGUUAUUCUGCCAUGCUGAAAGUUUUUGGGAUGGUAAACCUAGGUCAGAGUAUUUGUACAUGACCCGACAUGAAAAUUCGGAUGUGAAUAUUUUUGCCGCCACUAUUUUCCUAAUGGUAUCAUUUUUUGUGCAAUAUAUACACCUUUGUUUAGGAUAGCACAAGAAUAAGGAUCACACCAUUUACAAUGUUUCAGUGAUUUUUCCUUAUCAGGUGCAGUAUAUAGCAGUUAUUUAUGGGUUUGGCAGCAUACUCUGUAUAAUCACAUUUAGUCAUAAUCUACAUAUGCCUUGAUGAAGGUUCUUAUCUAAAAUCUGUUGUUUUUUAAUAUUUCUAGCCUGUCUUAACACUAUUUUUAAUGUUUCCCAAUAAAGCUUUAACAUGCUAUACCCUUUUAUGCUAGGGACGUUAGGGACCCACUCUUAAUAGGUGGCCUUGACGU